ensembl:lncRNA
GGUUAGACAAGGCUCCCUGACCUCCUCUACUUGGCAGGCUUUCCUCUGCAUUUUUGGCUGAGAGACAAACUAUACUUUCCCCCCCUCCUCCCCAAGCCCUCCAACUGGUCCCAGUAUGUCCUGGUGCAGGUGUGCUGGUGGGCAAGGUGAGGAGAGAUUUCAUCACUCCAGCAUAUGGGCAACGCAGCCCUUCUUGAAGAGCCCCUCAUUCCCAUCCUGGGGCAUCUGAGUUCCUGAAGUGGGCACAGUGUUUACAGAGUCGGCAAUGGGAUGUGCAGCUUCGCAUCAUCUUAAGGCAGAUCAAUGCGUCGCCUGCCUUGCCCUGCUCUCACCAGUAGAGAUGUGGUAGCCCGUUGGUCUUCCUGCUAUUGCUGUGAUAAGAAGCCCCCAAAAUGUUUCCGUUGCAGCCAUCAUGUCAAUCCAGGCCUUGAUGCAGUUGAGCACUGAAGAUACUUGGCCCUCCUUGUAACACAGCUUUACUUUGGUCCUGCGUGGUUUAAGGCACCAGACUCUCACUGGAGUUUACCUAAGGACUUGGGAUCUCACCAUUUUUAGUGGUAUAUGGAUACUUCAAACAAAGCAUCGGAGAAUUUUUAGUGUUCUUACUUAAAGAAAACCUGAGGUCAGAAACCGAGCUUUCUCAGGAAAUCUGUGGUCAGAGCAGGAAAGAGGACCCAGGUGUCCCGAGCUCUUAACGUUCAGCCUUUCCUCUCCUGCCCCCAAGCUGCCUGAGAGCAUGUUUGGAAGGAUGCCUGCUUGCUCAGAUACGGUGCAGACCUUCCUUCUUCUCUCGCCACAGCUGUGAACUUCUAGGAGGUCCUUAUACUCUCAGCCGGAACACGUCUGAGUACGUAGACGAAACGUCAGGACCAGGACUGAGUGUGUGCCACUGAGAAGAGAAAUCCCAUCUGUGCUGUGGAGCAGGAGCUUGGUUUUGGUUGUGAUUUCUCCCCACCAGCUGGUCUGAGUAAUUACAUAAUGUAUCGAGCCAAGACAUCCUGCUUUAUGCAACAAGUAAAUUCAUUUACAACCAUCUUUUAAAGCAAAGAAGAUAUACACUGCAUGUCCUCCUUUAACUGCACUACUUUUAAGAGUGCAAUCAACAAGCUAUUCAUUAGCUGGCUAGCAUAACAGUCUCAGAGGAGGCUGUGCCUGUUUUUCUUCUGCCCAGGACCUGCUCUGGUGUCAGGAGGUGAUGCAGUAGGUGCCUGCUGUGGCACAUGACCUUUCCCAAGGUGUGAACAGAGCUUUCUUGGUUGCCUCACACUCCUUACAGGAACCGCGGGUUUACAGAUGCCCAUCGUCUGCUCAUUGACUCUCAGCAUCCCAAACGCCUCAGAGCUGUUUGUGAGUGCCCACGGAUUGAUGGCUGAAUGACUGAACACGCAGCACCACGAGGGCUGACAGUGCCCCAGUCUUGGCACUGACCAACACAGCUGUGCCCAGCUCCAGUGAGUCACCUCGGUAAGCACUGUGCUCCCGCUGCUUGCCGGGACCACGGGACCCAAAGGCCACCAGCCCGGUUUCGGUGCCCUGGUUUUCUUUGCUUGCCCGGCGGUUCCGCCCCACGCCCCACCCCGCAGCGGCGUUAAUGAUGGGGUAGGGAUUGCUCUGGGCUGGCGGGAGGUGUGGGUCACUCUGCCAGGGCAGUGAGCCGCGGUCAGUGGGACGCCGUGACACAGUGCCCCGAGCUGCAGCCAUCGGGGCUGGGCCAUGCUGCCCCAGGCAGUCCAGCCGGGGGAAGGUGCCCUCAGAGGGCCAGCCAGUAGGUGAUUGGGAUCAGUUUCCCCGUCAUGAGACUGUUUUCUUCUCCCAAACUCUGCAGCUGGGUGCAGCGCUGCACAGCUCUGUGGCAGCCCCAGCCCUUCCCUGGCCCAGGGAUCACUGCCAAAGCCCAGCACAGGGCAACCACUGAGCUCCUCUUUUCCGUUUGAAAGCUUAUAUAAAAAAUGAUGAUAAGCUAAAUCUAGAUCUAUGCAGCAAUUAUGUGGGAUGCCAGACCUUGCACCUGUAGCAUAAUACAUAACAGAGCCAGCUAACUGCCUUGUCUAAUGAUUGCUCUGAACAGCAUACAAAUCACAUUAUGGGGGGUGAGCUGAGAGCCAUUUUUCGGCCGAAGCUGAUGAGCUUGCAAAGACUUUCUUUGCCCCAUUCUCUCAG